rnacentral:rRNA from 1 species
CCUGCGGAAGGAUCAUUAUUGAACACCUUUCAGGGGUUUCCCCUUCACCGGGGAUUCCCCGUCCACACCAAACCCCUGUGCACCUUUCUCGAUGGGAAAUGCGGCUUUGCGGCCGCAAAGUACCGUCGCCGUCUCACAAACGCUUUGUAAACGUACAUGGAAUGAAUACGCGGUGCUCCGCGACUAAACACAAAACAACUUUCAACAACGGAUCUCUUGGCUCUCGCAUCGAUGAAGAACGCAGCGAAAUGCGAUAAGUAAUGUGAAUUGCAGAAUUCAGUGAAUCAUCGAAUCUUUGAACGCACCUUGCGCCCCUUGGCAUUCCGAGGGGCAUGCCCGUUUGAGUGUCUUGAAUUCAUCCUCCCGCCGGUUUCGCGACCGGUCGGGCUGGGACUUGGGGGUUUGCAACCGCAUGAGCGGAGGCUCCCCUUGAAUGUAUCGGUGGGAUUUUGCUGGGCCGCAUCCCUUGGGCGUUGUAUUGUCCUCGUCCGCAGCGGAUUGCCCCGGUGUCGCCCGCCUAGACCUUGCCUUUCGAGAGGCGGUCAACAGGCGGCUUUUUGCCGUCUUGAAAUCUGACCUCAAAUCGGGUAGGACUACCCGCUGAACUUAAGCAUAUCAAUAA